rnacentral:tRNA from 1 species
AAAGAAUUAGUUAAUUUAUAACCUUAGUAUGUCAAACUAAAAUUAUUAGAACGUUCUAAUAUUCUUUA